rnacentral:rRNA from 1 species
GACAGAGGGUGCAAACGUUGUUCGGAAUUACUGGGCGUAAAGCGCGUGUAGGCGGCUAUGCAAGUCGGAUGUGAAAGCCCUCGGCUCAACCGGGGAAGUGCACCCGAAACUGCAAGCUAGAGUCUCGGAGAGGAUCGUGGAAUUCUCGGUGUAGAGGUGAAAUUCGUAGAUAUCGAGAGGAACACCGGUGGCGAAGGCGGCGCUCUGGACCGAGACUGACGCUGAGGCGCGAAGGCGUGGGGAGCAAACAGGAU